rnacentral:tRNA from 1 species
GCCGUGGUGGUGGAAUGGCAGACACGCAGGACUUAAAAUCCUGUGAUUGCAUAAAUCGUGAGGGUUCGACUCCCUCCCGCGGCA